AAUAAAGUGCCUGAUAAAAGGGUUAUUUUGAUAGAAUAAAUUAUAUAAUUUGAAAUUAUCUUUAUUA
rnacentral:tRNA from 1 species